CUUAAAAAAAAUUUUUUUUAAAUUAAAAAUUAUGGCUAUUGCUGAUGAUCUUGAUAAUUUGUGCACUGAAGAACUGCGGGCUGAGAUGCUUGCUGUGGGAAUGCCGAAUAUGCCAAUCACAAAAACCACUCGCAAUGUUUUAAUAAAACGCUUGGAAGCUGCAAAAUUAAUGAAAAUGAUGAAGAAGCAGUUAGAUGCAAAAACCAACGGUGCUGCAGUGAAUUCUGCAGUGAUUUCUGCAGUGAAUUCUGCAGUAAAAUCGUAAAAUUGCUGGCAAAAAGACGAAAAUAUACAAUCGAUGAGUCGAAAAUAAUGCCAAUGAUGAAUACUUUAAUUACGACAACAAUUUUGAUCAUUAAGAAUUGACAGAAAAUUUUAUCAAAAAGAAUUGGAGUCCUUCACAAACUGAUGUCUUCACUGUAUACAUUAUUGGUGCAUUAAUUUUGAUCUUCGUUCACAAACGAAAAACAUUCCAAAAACUAUCAAAGCCUACAAACGAAGACUUGAAUAUAUAUUAUAUAUAUAUACUUAUUUAUAAUGUGCAUAUAUUUAUAAAUAUGCAGAUAGUUGUAACACAUUCACAUCAACAAACAACAAAUAAACAAGUCACCUGACGAUUUUUUAACUA